GACGAACGCUGGCGGCGUGCUUAAAACAUGCAAGUCGAACGGACACUUAUUGGUGCUUGCACCGAUUUGUGUUAGUGGCAAACGGGUGAGUAACGCGUGGGCAAUCUGCCUCGUACAGGGGGAUAACAGUUGGAAACGACUGCUAAUACCGCAUAUGACCACAAAUACAUAAGUAUUAGGGGUGAAAGGGAUAACUGGUACGAGAUGAGCUUGCGUUUCAUUAGCUUGUUGGUGAGGUAACGGCCCACCAAGGCAAUGAUGAAUAGCCGGUCUGAGAGGAUGAACGGCCACACUGGAACUGAGAUACGGUCCAGACUCCUACGGGAGGCAGCAGUUAGGAAUAUUGGGCAAUGGAGGCAACUCUGACCCAGCAACGCCGCGUGAAGGAUGAAGGUUUUCGGAUUGUAAACUUCUGUAUUAAAGGAAAAAGAAAGUGAUGGUACUUUAAUAGAAAGUCACGGCCAACUACGUG
rnacentral:rRNA from 1 species